GACAGAGGUGCCAAGCGUUAGGCGGAAUCACUGGGCUUAAAGCGUGUGUAGGCGGAUCGUUAAGUGCCUUGUGAAAUCCCACGGCUUAACCGUGGAACUGCUCGGCAUACUGGCGGUCUUGAGCCAGCUAGGGGCUACCGGAACAAAUGGUGGAGCGGUGAAAUGCGUAGAUAUCAUUUGGAACGCCAAUGGUGAAAACAGGUAGCUGGGGCUGUGCUGACGCUGAGACCCGAAAGCAUGGGGAUCAAACAGG
rnacentral:rRNA from 1 species